UUUGCGGCGGCCAUGGCCCAGGUGAGACGCCCGGUCCCAUUCCGAACCCGGAAGCUAAGGCCUGGCACGGCGAUGGUACUGCACCCGACAGGGUGUGGGAGAGUAGCACGCCGCCGCACCC
rnacentral:rRNA from 1 species